rnacentral:rRNA from 1 species
UACGUAGGGUGCAAGCGUUGUCCGGAAUGAUUGGGCGUAAAGAGCUCGUAGGCGGUUUGUCGCGUCUGCUGUGAAAACUCGGGGCUUAACUCCGGGCCUGCAGUGGGUACGGGCAGACUAGAGUGCGGUAGGGGAGGCUGGAAUUCCUGGUGUAGCGGUGAAAUGCGCAGAUAUCAGGAGGAACACCGGUGGCGAAGGCGGGUCUCUGGGCCGUAACUGACGCUGAGGAGCGAAGGCGUGGGGAGCGAACAGG